rnacentral:lncRNA from 1 species
CUUUUGUUCUUGAAAAUCUACUAUUUAUUUCUCUCUCUCUCUCUUUUUGCAUUGUCUUUUUUCUUAGUGUUUUUUAAAGAAAAGUUCAUGAGAGAAAAAAUUAUACCUUCUUGUUUCCAAGCUAACUUGUUUCUUUUUUCUUCCUUUAAUAAGCCGUAACCUUGUUAGAAUUUUUUGAAAACUUAAAUAUUGGGACCCAAUAUUCAGUUUUUUGAAUGAACGGGUAAACAGAUGAGUGGAAACAGAUGAGAUGAUCUGGCGACCUCUGAUUCCUUGUUAACAUCAGACAACUGGAUGCUGGGAUGGUCUUCCAAGCCCCUAAUCCAACCCUCUCCACAGCUUAAGUGCAGGCUGUUUUUCUUGAGAGUCUGGUGGGACCUGACUCCACGUUUUCUCUCUAGUCCGAGGCCCGUCUGUGCUUGUGCCUCAUUCCUUGCCUGGUGCACUCAGACUCCACCUCUGCAGUGAGAACCCUGUGUCCGCUUGGCCGAGUCCCUGGACCUGAUUGGGCUAACAGCCUGAGAUGGCACCGGUGAAGACUCUGAGGAAAGUGGAGAAUCAUCACAUAACCUUGCAGCACAGCGUUAUGUUAGCUGAGGAGUCCGUACAGCUGUAGUGGGGCUGGGAUACAGACUGACACCCAGGAGGAAGACUUGACAUUUUAGUCCUGGAUGAUGCUGCCAGGAGAAAGACAACGGUGGGAACCUUGUGGCUUCAUUCAGUAAGGGAGGUGCUACUCCACUCAUAACGCUGUACUGAAGUUCAGGUAUCAUCUUCCCUU